rnacentral:rRNA from 1 species
AGGAUGAACGCUAGCGGCAGGCUUAACACAUGCAAGUCGAGGGGCAGCACGAUGUAGCAAUACAUUGGUGGCGACCGGCGCACGGGUGCGUAACACGUAUGGAACUUGCCCUUUACUGGAGGAUAGCCCGGAGAAAUCCGGAUUAAUACUCCAUAACAAUCGAGGUGGCAUCACCUUGGUUUGAAAGCUCCGGCGGUAAAGGAUGGCCAUGCGCACGAUUAGCUAGUUGGUGAGGUAACGGCUCACCAAGGCUACGAUCGUUAGGGGGCCUGAGAGGGUUAUCCCCCACACUGGUACUGAGACACGGACCAGACUCCUACGGGAGGCAGCAGUGAGGAUAUUGCGCAAUGGAGGCAACUCUGACGCAGCCAUGCCGCGUGCAGGAGAAGGCGCUACGCGUUGUAAACUGCUUUUAACCGGAAGAACCCAGACGUGUCCUGGUGACGGUACCGAGGAAUAACGCACGGCUAACUUCGUGCCGAGCAGCCGCGGUAACG